UUUAAGCGCAGCUAUAAAUUUUCGUGUAUUUUGAUCGUUCGUCUUAUUUAAAAUUUUUUAUGAUUAAUAUUAAUAUUAUUAUUAAAUAAUAAUAAAACAUAAAUAUUACUUUAUGCAUUACUUAUAUUUUUUAUUUUAUAAAAUCUUUUAAAUAAGAUGGACGAUAAAAGUUGUCAUGAAAACUCAUAGGUACAUUUAAG
rfam:Oryza meridionalis cultivar OR44 (W2112) chromosome 10, whole genome shotgun sequence.